CUGGCAGAAAAAAUGUCACCUGCAAAAAUACUCAGAAAAACUCAACUGUCAGAAAUUCGACUGCAGAGGCGUUGAACUCCGCAUGACCCGGACCAGAGCGAUCCGGUUCCUCUUUCUGGGUUCAGGUAGGUGGAGCUUUGAUGAUGUUUGCUUCACAUUUCAAAUAUUGUUGUUUGUUCUUUAGUGUUUACUUGUAAAUAAAUGGAUUCUCUUUUUAUUGGAGACAUUCUUUUGGUGUUUUUGUUAUUAAAGUUUAGACCAAAUCCCUUUUAUGUUAUGCCUCUCGAUCCCCUAGACCAAAACAGGGUCUAACAUAAAUUGGGGGCUCGUCCGGGAUCUGUUGUCCAUCUGGAUCCGUUUCAUUUGUUUUUUUGUUUUUUUUUAAUUACUUGAAAUUUGUAAAAUUCUGUUAGUUCCUGCAGACAAAGUGUGGUUGUCAGUUUUUCUUUGUGGUUUGUUUGUGAUGGAAUUUGAGUUGAUUGUCUUGUUAAUGGAAAUAAAGAGCAUUUUGGAAAUCAAACAGAAUAUAAUAUAAAAACAUGUUAUAAUUGCUAAAAAAAAAAAUUUUCAUCAAAAGAAACAAAAAAACGAACAUUCGAACAUUCAUUUAACACCCCUUGAUAGAAAUAUAGUCCAAUACUGUCAUGGUGCCUCUGUCAGUCUCCUCCCCCUCUCCAAUCUCCUCUCCACCUGGCUGCUGAUCAUCCCCAGCUGCAACCACUCAACUCUUCACCUCACCUGCCUACUUAAGGAGCUCCAGGACCUUCAUUCCCCGCCAGUCCGUUGCCCCUGAUGGAAUCUCCUACCACGAGUGGUUGCGUGUUUUCGUCCUGCGUCCAGAUCUUCAGUCGGGUCUUCUCUCCACGGUCACACCACGAGCCUCUGCCUCUGCUCCACGUUCCCGAAUCCAAGACGGCCAUCUCCCUCUCGGAGGACAAGAUCGCCUGCUACACCUCCUACCUCUGCCUCCUGCCCGGAACCUGCUUCCUGUCCUGUUCAGGACCCCACCUCCUCGUCACACUAUUAAACUCAUUACCUACCAA